AAGGAAUGUCUUACAACAGAAAGAAC
rnacentral:tRNA from 1 species